UACGUAGGGGGCGAGCGUUGUCCGGAUUCAUUGGGCGUAAAGAGCUCGUAGGCGGCUUGAUAAGUCGGGUGUGAAACCUCCAGGCUCAACCUGGAGUCGCCACUCGAUACUGUCAUGGCUAGAGUCCGGUAGGGGACCACGGAAUUCCUGGUGUAGCGGUGAAAUGCGCAGAUAUCAGGAGGAACACCGGUGGCGAAGGCGGAUCUCUGGGCCAUUACUGACGCUGAGGAGCGAAAGCGUGGGGAGCGAACAGG
rnacentral:rRNA from 1 species